AAAAGCGGCCGGCCUAUAUAUAUCACCCAAACUCAACUAUAUAAAUUUGAAUCCUAACAGUACCCCACAUCUCUAUAUAAGAUUGUCAAGCAUGAUAUCAUCCAACAGAGAAAGAAAACCAUAUAUAUGAUAAUAUAACCUCUCCAUUCUUUCAUCCGUUGGCACUAUUCAAAUGACAUUUACUGACUCUGUUGGCAUCACCCAAUCACAUGAAGGUCACUAUUAGUAACAACCUAUAAUUUUUUAUGUGUUAGUAUUUGACUGACAGUUAUCACGGAAAAUAUUGGUUUGAACGAUUCCACUUUGCUAUAGUAACUAGUAAAAGACCAGUGUAUUCGCACAGGUCGCAUAACAUUACCCAUAAUUAUUAAUUUUGCAGUAAACUCCAAAUUGUAUAUUCAAAUUUCUUAUCUUACAUGCAUUACCAAAUUACCAUGCUAUCUUAAAUAAAUUGUAAUCUAAAAUCCAAUUUUCCCACAAAUUUGGCAUGACC
rnacentral:lncRNA from 1 species